GACGAACGCUGGCGGCGUGCUUAACACAUGCAAGUCGAACGGAAAGGCCCUGCUUUUGUGGGGUGCUCGAGUGGCGAACGGGUGAGUAACACGUGAGUAACCUGCCCUUGACUUUGGGAUAACUUCAGGAAACUGGGGCUAAUACCGGAUAGGAGCUCCUGCUGCAUGGUGGGGGUUGGAAAGUUUCGGCGGUUGGGGAUGGACUCGCGGCUUAUCAGCCUGUUGGUGGGGUAGUGGCUUACCAAGGCUUUGACGGGUAGCCGGCCUGAGAGGGUGACCGGCCACAUUGGGACUGAGAUACGGCCCAGACUCCUACGGGAGGCAGCAGUGGGGGAUAUUGCACAAUGGGCGGAAGCCUGAUGCAGCAACGCCGCGUGCGGGAUGACGGCCUUCGGGUUGUAAACCGCUUUCGCCUGUGACGAAGCGUGAGUGACGGUAAUGGGUAAAGAAGCACCGGCUAACUACGUG
rnacentral:rRNA from 1 species